rnacentral:rRNA from 1 species
CCUACGGGUGGCAGCAGUGAGGAAUAUUGGUCAAUGGGCGCGAGCCUGAACCAGCCAAGUCGCGUGAAGGAUGACUGCCCUACGGAUUGUAAACCUCUUUUGUCGAGGAAUAAGGUGAGGCACGUGUGCCUUGUAGUAGGUUCUUUAUGAAUAAGGAUUGGCCAACUCCGUGCCAGCCGCCGCGGUAAUACGGAGGAUCCGAGCGUUAUCCGGAUUUAUUGGGUUUAAAGGGAGCGUAGAGGGGUUGUUAAGGCAGUUGUGAAAGUUUGCGGCGCAACCGCGCCCCGCAGUGGAAACCGGGGGCCUUGAGUACACAACAGGCACGCGGAAUUCGUGGUGUAGCGGUGAAAUGCAUAGAUAUCACGAGGAACCCCGAUUGCGAAGGCAGCCUGCCGGGGGGCGACUGACGCUGAGGCUCGAAGGUGCGGGUAUCAAACAGGAUUAGAUACCCUAGUAGUC